ACGAAGGUGGCAAGCGUUGUUCGGAUUUACUGGGCGUACAGGGAGCGUAGGCGGUUGGAUAAGCCCUCCGUGAAAUCUCCAGGCUUAACCUGGAAAGUGCAGAGGGGACUGUUCAGCUAGAGGAUGGGAGAGGAGCGCGGAAUUCCUAGUGUAGCGGUGAAAUGCGUAGAUAUUAGGAAGAAUAUCAGUGGCGAAGGCGGCUCUCUGGACUGCAACUGACGCUGAGGCACGAAAGCGUGGGGAGCAAACAGGA
rnacentral:rRNA from 1 species